GGGUCGCUAGCUCAGUUGGUAGAGCAGGUCCCUCUUAAGGACAAGGUCCAGGGUCCGAAUCCCUGGCGACCCACAA
rnacentral:tRNA from 1 species